rnacentral:rRNA from 1 species
GAUCCUGAGUACGACGGAGCACGUGAAAUUCCGUCGGAAUCUGGGAGGACCAUCUCCUAAGGCUAAAUACUCUCUAGUGACCGAUAGUGAACCAGUACCGUGAGGGAAAGGUGAAAAGCACCCCGGAAGGGGAGUGAAAUAGAACCUGAAACCGUGUGCUUACAAGUAGUCAGAGCCCGUUAAUGGGUGAUGGCGUGCCUUUUGUAGAAUGAACCGGCGAGUUACGAUUUGAUGCAAGGUUAAGCAGUAAAUGUGGAGCCGUAGCGAAAGCGAGUCUGAAUAGGGCGUUUAGUAUUUGGUCGUAGACCCGAAACCAGGUGAUCUACCCUUGGUCAGGUUGAAGUUCAGGUAACACUGAAUGGAGGACCGAACCGACUUACGUUGAAAAGUGAGCGGAUGAACUGAGGGUAGCGGAGAAAUUCCAAUCGAACCUGGAGAUAGCUGGUUCUCUCCGAAAUAGCUUUAGGGCUAGCCUCAAGUGAUGAUUAUUGGAGGUAGAGCACUGUUUGGACGAGGGGCCCCUCUCGGGUUACCGAAUUCAGACAAACUCCGAAUGCCAAUUAAUUUAACUUGGGAGUC